rnacentral:misc_RNA from 1 species
CACUUACACAGGGAUUUGUUCAUGACUACCUUUUCUGCAGACAAAAUUUCACAUGGCAACACAUUAAAACUCGUAUCCAGACAGGAGAUUAGCAACUGGGAAAAGCAGAAAGCGUGCUGAAUCAAGGGCACUACAAAACAAUCUUAAUAGAAUCUUAGAUUAUCUCUUCAUUACAAUGGACAGUACAUAACAAAAACAAAGGCUACACUCCCUCAACAAAAAGGAUGAGAAAUGUAAUCUCUACUUCCAUCAUAUCAAAGCUUAAUUGUAGUUCCUCACCACUGUGCAAGCCAAGCUACAGGCAAAAACUCCAUCUACUCAAACAAACUUCUAUGAAAGAUUCACACAAUAAAAUUACAAAGUUGUGUUAAUCCUCCUCUAUUAAAGUUUUCUUCCACUGGUUCCCUCAGAAAGCAAGUUUUAAAACAAGUCAAAAUCUUCAAAAAUGGUUAAAGAAUCAACUGUGCGUUUCAUAUAUUCCCAAUCUUUUUCUCCAUAUAGAUUAGUGGCCUCUGUGAACAAGCCACAAGGAAGCUAUGCGUAAAUGUCAAAAAGAAAUGUAUUCUGAAAAUGAGAAAAUUUGUGAAAGAAAUAAUUUCCAGAUGGUACAGGAGCUCGCUGAUGAGAAUGGCUGAAAGUCACAAACAACUGCAACAACAGAACAAGACAAAGACAAAUGAGCAAAUUGUGCUCAAAUUGUCUCUUCUGAGUUUUAUUUUUCAUUUUCAACAUACAUUACGCCGAGAAAGAAUGUUGCCUUUGGUGAUGGUCGAACAGACAAAAAUAAUCACAAGCAGUCCACACCAAAUAACAGUUUUAAUUCUUCCACCUUCAGACAGCAACAAACUGUAGGCAGCAUCUUAUCCAAACUGCUCAAAGCUGCUGACAAUUCUCAGAAUGGAAAUUAUCCUCAUAUUAUCUCUGAUCCAAAUCUGUUUAGACAUCAAAUAUUGCAUCAAAUGCAUUUUUACAUGGUCAAUCAAUGGAGAAAAUAAGUCGCUUCACACGAAAACAUGACCAAGCCCAUCGAAAAUUCUCAGAAUCAUCUGGACCAAGAGAUGCAUGCUGAUGUCAUCUCCUUGUGUAUAACUGUCUGUAUAUCUAACCAACAUGGUGAUUUGACAUCAACUAACUAUAUUCAAGAUCAAGAAUAUAUUAUCCCCUCAACCUCAUUAUCCCAAUCAUAUAAGGAAAAAGUGGCAGUGGUGGGGUGGGGGAAUAACAUAAACAAGGCCCAAAGGAAAGCACAAUGAGAAAAGAUGAAACCUAGGAAUGAACUUACCUGAAUAUCUACAUAAGGAGCCAUUCCCAUCCAUUGAUAAUGAUAUCAGCCUUCUUUCUUGGCCUAGCGAAAGUAUUUCUUGCAUCCUUUCUGGCCAAUCUGAAUUUAAUCUACGAGCAAAGUCCUCAACUUCCCUGUCAAGUUCCUCCUUCAUUGCAGGAUCUAAAUCAUCAUCAAUGUCAACAUCAUCAAAUUCAAGCUUAGGUGAAAGCGUGGCAGAUCCAGAUUCCUGAAACUUUGAAGUUUUAAUGGAAGAGGCAACCAAAAUAUCUUUAACCUUCCCAUUCUGGCAAGCAGAAGGGCAAGUGUCCAUCUCCUUCUUAUUGUUUCCAUUUAAAUUGUUUGAAGAAGAUUCCUUUGAUUGGUCUUUUCUUCUACGAUUCUUUUUUUUGUUCUUACUACUACUACCUUUUGAAUCUGCGGAGACUAUCAUAUUCAGUACAAUUGCAAAGAGAAAACCCAUAUUCACAAGAUCAGCUAUUUAAACAUCGAUUCUUUGAAAAUUUCCUGGAAGCUACAUGACGAACAUGAAAUAUUACUAGAAUAUCUGUACUGACUGAACAAGCUGGUUGCUAUCAAGUUGGUAAGAAGCUAAAGCAUUUGAUCUUCUCUGAAUGAAGGCUAAAUAUUUUGCAGGCAUACCUCCAUCUGCACCAUUUAUAAAUGACAAGAGAUCGUCAACCGAGCGUUCAUCCACAUGCUCAUCUUCAACCUCAACAUUCUUCAUUUUCUCUCGCUCUUUCAAUUCCUUCCUCUUUCUGGCAUACAAUCGAUUUAAAAGCCGGAUGCGUGGAUCAUCAGUAAUGUUUCUUAGAGGCUCCAAUUUCUCUUCCUCUGUGAGGUCAUCAGGUAAAUGAAAGGUCUCACGUAUCUCCUCAGGAGUUUUCCCCUCAAUAAUUCGAGCAAGUGCACGACUGGUAAGAUCAACCAAAGGCUUUAACCCAAGGCUGUCAGCAGCAGAUGUCAAC